rnacentral:rRNA from 1 species
AUUGAACGCUGGCGGCAGGCUUAACACAUGCAAGUCGAGCGAGCGGCGGACGGGCGAGUAAUGUCUGGGAAACUGCCUGAUGGAGGGGGAUAACUACUGGAAACGGUAGCUAAUCCCGCAUACCAUCAGAUGUGCCCAGAUGGCCUUGGCUGGUAGGUGGGGUAAUGGCUCACCUAGGCGACGAUCCCUAGCUGGUCUGAGAGGAUGACCGGCCGCACUGGAACUGGGACACUGUCCGGACGCCUACGGGAGGCAGCGGUGGGGAAUAUUGCGCGAUGGGCGCAAGCCUGAUGCAGCCAUGCCGCGUGUGUGAGGAGGGCCUUCGGGUUGUAGAGCACUUUCAGCGAGGAGGCGUUACUCGCAGAAGAAGCGCCGGCUAACUCCGUGCCAGCAGCCGCGGUAAUUC